GCCAUAGUCUUCCAGAGUGGAAGAAGAAGAAGAAGAUGAAGAAGAAGAACGGCAAUGGAUACAAUAGGUGCCUAUGCACCUUCGGUGCUUGGCCCCUAACAAUGGGAACAGAACAGAAAAUCACUUCAACAUAAAAAUCAUUAAACACAAGACAUGGGGAACACAGGCUGGGAUCAUUAGAGGCUUGAUUUUGUCCAACGGGAAUUGAUUGAAUUGAUUGCCGUUUGCUUUUGCUGUAAUCUUAUGUGGAUGACAGGAUGUCCUGCCUAUCAGGGUCAUGGGCGCCCAAGGCAAUGUUCUCCUGGGAAACCUUGGGUCCUGGCAUUCAUGUAGAUGUUUGACACAUAUCACCCACCUAAAGAUUGUUGCAGACCAUAUACAUGGCAAUGGUGUUCACUGAUGGCAGCGGCCUCUUUCAGCAGGAUAAUGCACUCUGCCACACUGCAAAAAUUGUUCAGGAAUUGUUUAAGGAAUGUGAUGAAGAGUAAAGGCCCUGGCCUCCAAAUUCCCCAGAUCUCUUUUCAAUUGAGCAUCUGUGGGAUGUGCUGGACCAACAAAUCUGAUCCAGGGAGGCCCUACAUGAACCGAAAAAAGAUUUCCACAUCAAAGAAGGAGAAGCCGCAGAGCCACACCUACUAUCGCCACAGACCAAUGAUAGUUUGAAGGUGUUUACCAGCCAGAACAAACUUUUCCUGAAACUCCCAAAAUGAGCUUUAUUUUGACCUGAUUUUGUUCGAAAUGACCAGUUUGAAAUGACCAGCUUGAAGUAUAUUGGGGCCUUUACUCACAUCUGACCUCAACGGACUGAAAAGAAGAAAUUAACCAGAGAAGAUUCCACAUUAAAGAAGGCGGAGCCAGGAUCCAGACAACACCCUCCAAACACACAACACAGCACAUGAAUGUAUGGAACAAGACAAGACCAACCCAGAUGACAGGAGCCUGACAUUAGAACUGUACAUGCAACACUAUAUGGGAAUUACAGUGCAGAAAUUGUACAUAAUCAACUGUAGGUAUGUUACAAAACAUUGGCAAGUUGUUAAAAAGAAUGUUAAAAUAUUUUUAUGAUGUGAAUAAGUGAGUGGACGAUGUGGAGGUUGGACAAUAGUUUUGAGAAUUUCAACUGUGAUCUGAGAAAUUUACCAAAGCUACUUAAACGUGAUAAAAUAUUAAACAUGCUUAAAGAGUUAAGGCGGGUGUACACUGUGCGAGUUCGGACACUCGAUAGGCUGUGAUCUAUUACGAGUUAGUUAACCUGAUAAUUGUGUCAAAGCAACUGGUACACGGACUGUGCUGCACAGCGAGCCGACGGCAUCAUAUGCGCUUUCACGCUAAACACAGAGACUGGAAAUUUCAAUGUUGCUGCUAUAGGUUCAGAUAGAAAAGAAAGAAAGAAAGAAAAUAAAAAGGCCAGUGUGCAAAUGAUGUGGAGAAAUGCACAGAACAGCAAAAAGCACGCAGUUGCGUGGGGCCACUCCCAGAGAUUUGCUUUAGGCCCCCAAUAACGUAAACACCCCUGGCUUUUACAUUCGACAAAAACAACUAGAGAGUGUAUAUGUGUGUAUGUUUGUGUGUGUGUGUAUCUGUCAGUGUUUGCAUACACUGUAGGGUUGCAGUCACUGAGCUAUAGUAAUAUUCAUAUAUCUAGCAUAUAUGAUGUGGUUGUGUAAGAUUUGGCAAUAGGAGACAGUCUAUACACUGGUCAAAAUCGAGGCUCCACAAUUUUUUUUUUUUUAAUUAAAAUUGGUUCGGGUCAUAAUUCCUCUCACACAAUGUGAGCUGUGACCAUAUGAGCAUCAAUGAUUUCCACACGAUUUCUCCAGAGAAAAAAAAAAAAAAAGAAGGUAUUUUGAAGAAUAUGGGUAACCAAACAGUUGAUGGGCCCCACUGACUUGAAUGAUGACAUAAUUUUCAUUUUUGGGUAAACUAUCACUUUAACUUGAUUAACAAAGUGGUGAUGGUAAUAGGGGCAUUAGGUGUUAAAAAAGUGUGGUCAGAACGAAUUUGACUUUUACUUCCUCUGCUUGAUGUGGGAAGUUUUUUUUUUUUUUUUUUGGCUUCCUGUCUUUGCUUCAGAGCUGCAGUAGAUUUGGGCAGAAGUUGUGUGGCGGGCAGAAGAUUCAUAUUGAGGUGAUUUAAUCUUGGAAACAACAUGAAGAUCAUUCAGCUUCAGCUUUAUGUAUUAAUCUGUUGUCGAGCUGCAGCACCAGAUCAACUAACUGAUUUGGGAUCAAAUGUGACCAUAAACUGUGAUCUUGAUGAAAAUGAGGUUUAUUGGAUUUUACUGAAAACACCAGAUCCUCCAACAUUGAUUCUACGAUCAUUCUCAACACCAAAGUCACCUUUUUACUAUAAUAAUACAUUCAGAAACAAAUAUUCAGUGCAGUUUAAACAUUGUCUGGUUUUAAUAAAUGUGACAGCUGAUGAAUUAGGAGUUUAUUACUGUAUGAAAACAGGCACACCUCCAAAACUCAGCAACAGCACCAGACUGUACAUCAAUGAAUCAACUCAACUAACUGAGUGUCACAAUCAUACAGUGGUGGAGUUUAUUGAUCAGAAUCAGACACAAUGUCAGAUUAUUAUCAUCAUAUCUGGUCUGAUGAACGGGCUGCUGGUCAUUGUGCUGAUCGGACUAUUAAAGGUUUAUGUUUUUGGAAUCAGAAGGUCUGCAGAACAAUCACAGCUCAACACUGAUCUACAGCAGACACAAGUUAUAGAAGAGCAUCAGGAGCAAUUACAGUACGCCACGGUGGACUUUUCCAAGCUGCGUAGAAAUAUUCGCUCCAGCCAAAUCAACAGCACCUAUGCUGCACUAAAGCUGCCAAAGUCAUGAACACAUGAGUAUGACUGAUAUUAUACUUAUUUUGUUCACUUUUCUUUGAUGUUCAACUCUGAAACUUCUAAAAAAAAAAAAAAAAAAAACGAUCAGAGUCUUUGGGAAAGUUCAGAAAAAUUACUGCGCAAAAAGUAAAAAUAAAUAUACAAAUAAGUUAAAAUUGACUAAAUUUCAUAUUUCAUUCAUUCUGCUUUCUAAAGGCAUUAAUCACAAUUAUUUUAUUGAAUUGACUGCUAUAGAUUUAUAUUUUCUUUUAUUUUCUUCAGGUUUAUACAUCUAAAAGUACUCUGAUAAUGUGUAGAAAAUAUUACCUGGAAAAUAUUUACUUUUUAUUAAGUGGACACUUAUUUUUUCAUUGUAUGAAUAUUGUAUGAAUGUUUUAUACAUGAAAAUAUGCAGAGUACCUGCCUUUGUAUUUAUUGGGUCCCGCAAGUGAAUCGUAUUUGAGGGUCGAUGGCAUCAAAACAUUUGAAAACCCCUGCUGCAGAUGAAGUGUGUUUAAGAACUUUUUUAUGUUUGCUAGUUGGUCUAUUUAUUUUUGUUAGUUGGAAGACUUCUUUUGUUUUAGAAUAGCUGCCUUAAUCUAUAUCUGCUGAAACUUUUGUGAGUGGUUGUCACAGUGGAUAAAUCUUUCUUUUUAUAUACCAUACAUUGAUCUUAGAAUGGAGAGUGUGCACAUUAUUCAUUAUUUUUCUGAAGCCUGAAGUUUUCCAUACUGUUAGACGAAGAAGAGUUUAAUUUUUAUAGAAUAUAAAGUAAACAGAAUCAGUUAAAUUAUGAUGAUCAAAAAGUCUGUGAUUGUAAGUCAACAAACUGAAGUGUUGUGGUUUAUCAACCUACUUUUGUCUAACGCUGCACUCAGGGUUUUUGUUGUUGUUUUUGCAUUUGUUUACCUUGUGUUUUCACAAAGUGAAAGUGUGAAGAGUGAGUCUGUUUGGGUUUUUAAAAUGUAUUUUAUGCUGAGAAAACAUCUGUUAGUGUAUUUUGGUCAAAUGAAAAAAUGUUCUAGCAAAUGAAUGUCAGAAAUAUUUUCUAGAUGGAAAAACAUUAUCCUUUUACUUUAAAUGUACUUAUUUUAUACAUAUUAUAAAGUGAUAUGACUGCCUUUAAUACAUUUGGUUCUACAUCCAUUUCACAAUAUAUAAAUAGUAUAUAAUUAAUAUAAAAUAAUAUUUUAAACACAUGUGACAACUUGUCCCGACCUUACAUUUAUGAAAAAUACCCUUAUUCUGAGAACACAGUUCAAACGUUCAGUUAAAAUCUACCUUUAUUAUGAAGUUGCUUCAUUAUGAAUAAAUAAAUUUUUGUCUGUG